rnacentral:rRNA from 1 species
UGCAACUCGACUCCAUGAAGCUGGAUUCGCUAGUAAUCGCGCAUCAGCCAUGGCGCGGUGAAUACGUUCCCGGGCCUUGUACACACCGCCCGUCAAGCCAUGGGAGUCGGGAGUGCCUGAAGUUCGUGACCGUCACGGGAGCGACCUAAGGCAAGACCGAUGACUGGGGCUAAGUCGUAACAAGGUAAC